UACGAAGGGGGCAAGCGUUGUUCGGAAUUACUGGGCGUAAAGGGCGCGUAGGCGGCUUAUCAAGUCAGGCGUGAAAUUCCCGGGCUCAACCUGGGGGCUGCGCUUGAUACUGAUUGGCUUGAAUGCGGGAGAGGAUAGUGGAAUUCCCAGUGUAGAGGUGAAAUUCGUAGAUAUCGGGAGGAACACCAGUGGCGAAGGCGACUACCUGGCCUGUUCUUGACGCUGAGGCGCGAAAGCUAGGGGAGCAAACGGG
rnacentral:rRNA from 1 species